rnacentral:rRNA from 1 species
GCAGUCGACGGUACAGGCCGCAAGGUGCUGACGAGUGGCGAACGGGUGAGUAAUGCAUCGGAACGUGCCCAGUCGUGGGGGAUAACUGCUCGAAAGAGCUGCUAAUACCGCAUACGAUCUAUGGAUGAAAGCGGGGGACCGUAAGGCCUCGCGCGAUUGGAGCGGCCGAUGUCAGAUUAGGUAGUUGGUGGGGUAAAGGCCCACCAAGCCAACGAUCUGUAGCUGGUCUGAGAGGACGACCAGCCACACUGGGACUGAGACACGGCCCAGACUCCUACGGGAGGCAGCAGUGGGGAAUUUUGGACAAUGGGCGCAAGCCUGAUCCAGCAAUGCCGCGUGCAGGAAGAAGGCCUUCGGGUUGUAAACUGCUUUUGUACGGAACGAAACGGUCUGGGUUAAUACCCCGGGCUAAUGACGGUACCGUAAGAAUAAGCACCGGCUAACUACGUGCCAGCAGCCGCGGUAAUACGUAGGGUGCGAGCGUUAAUCGGAAUUACUGGGCGUAAAGCGUGCGCAGGCGGUCUUGUAAGACAGUCGUGAAAUCCCCGGGCUCAACCUGGGAAUUGCGAUUGUGACUGCAAGGCUGGAGUGCGGCAGAGGGGGAUGGAAUUCCGCGU